UACGGGGGGUGCGAGCGUUGUCCGGAAUCACUGGGCGUAAAGGGCGCGUAGGUGGUUUGAUAAGGGUGUGGUGAAAGUCCGGGGCUCAACCCCGGAUCUGCCGUGCCGACUGUCAAACUCGAGGACUGUAGAGGCAGACGGAAUUCCGGGUGUAGCGGUGGAAUGCGUAGAGAUCCGGAGGAGACCGGUGGCGAAGGCGGUCGCUGG
rnacentral:rRNA from 1 species